rnacentral:lncRNA from 1 species
CCCCAAAAAAAAAUUCCUUAACUUUCACCUUGAAAAUAGCUCUUUUGUUUGGGUCAUUCAUCCCUGUUGUUAAAGGUGCUCUUAAGCCCUGAAGCGAGCGAUGUUGAGCACUUCGUUUCACUUAGCAGGCGCUUCAGUGUCGUAAUCUACGCUCUAAGGAAUACUUAUUCUUACCAAUGAGUGUAAUCCUAAAUAUAUUACACUAAACAAUUCAGAUUUGUUAUUCUUGCUUGGAAUUAUUAAUCUUGGACUACACAUAUGUAUUUUUUAUUUUUUCUCCAUUUGCGCCUUUUUUCACUAAAGCCCACGCUUUAUUUGCGCUUUGCGCUUAAAGCCCCAAUAGACCUUAGAGCUUUUUUGCGCUUUUCGCCUUUGAUAACACUACUUCACAUCACCUCCUUCGUGAACGACCCACAACCAAAAUACAUGCACAUACAUUUUUACCUCUUUAAUAACACUGCUAUCCCCCUCACGUUUCAUGUAAUGGUUUUAAUAUCCAUUAACUACUGCUUUUCCUUUCCCAUCCUUAAUCCCUCCCUCAUUCUUUUCCCUCCUUUUGUCCCUAAACCUUUUCUUAUACACCAUAAUGUUCCCCCUCCCUCCCCUUCCCGUCAUGUCUUCUAGUCAACUCCCACUCUGUUGCUAUCCUCACUUUCCCUCUCCUAUUCCCCACUACCUCCUUUGGGUCAUAUUCAAUGUCAAGUAGAAGUUGUAUGGCCCUAUCCCCCUUGCCCUAAAAAGUAAACAACAAGAAUCCCAAUAUUUUUCCACAAGUGGGGUUUGGGGAGGGUGAGAUGUACGUGAGAUGUACGCAGUCUUACCCCUACCCUAUAAGGACAGAGAGGUUGUUUCCGAUAGACCCUCUAAAGUAACACCCAAAGAUUCCCCAAAGUUGAGGUAUUUGUUCCCUCGCCAAUCCGGACAAUCUCCUUCCACCUUUGAAGAUUGCUAAGAGUGGAUAUUCUCCUCCACUUCCACAUUUUCUCCUCUAAGAUUACCCAUGUACUCAACUAAUUGAUCAUUUACCUAAGUUGCUCGAACUCUUCAAUUUUGGUGUCGUCCCUGUUCCGAUACGAGACUUGGACGGGUGCUGGAGCGGGAAAUGUUCCGGAUAUGGUCAUCCGACUUCGGACACUUUGAACGGAGUCCAUCGACAAAUUUGGGAGAAAAAUUGAGAUUUUGAUUUCUCAAAAUCAAAAAUUAAACACAUUUAAGUUAUGGAAAAUGGCAUACCUUCAAUGUUGUAGUAUUUUUGUCUCAUAUUUGAUGUUUUGUGUGUCGGAGAAAACAAAAAUUCAAAGUGUCAUGUUCUAAUUUUGUACUUCAUGUAGACCUAGCAUGUAGAUUUACAAUAUUCUUAUAGCUCUAUUUUUUAUUAUUUUGAAUUUUCUUAGCCGUAUCUCCGCACCCGUAGCCAUAUCCGGAUUCGCACCCUCAAAUCUUAAAAUUUAAAUUUUGCCGAAUCCGAUAUCGGAACCGUCCCCGUAUCGGAUACGCGCACCCGAGUCCGAGCAACUUAGUCCUUUACCACACCACUUCCAACGCUCACCUCCACCCAAUUGAAAAUUCUCCCUCACUUCCCAAGACCACGUAGGCCUCUCUAACCCUCCGGGGCAGGGGUAAGGUCUGCGUACACUCUACCCUCCCCAGACCCCACUUGUGGUAUUUUACUAGGUCUGUUGUUGUUGCCCAAGACCACGUAGAUACCCCCCACCCCCACGUCUCUUUCCUUCAACACAUUCUGUUUUAAUGGUCUCACUGGAGAACCCACGUUGUUCGGGGUCAUUGCGACUUGGCAGCGAACCAUUAGUGACUCGGCAAUAUCCUUGGGAGGCCGGCUUUGUGAAAUUAGAGGCCAACGGAGAAGGAUCUUUAAAUUUUAGAGUCUGUCCAGCUGUCCUCCUCCUUUCUCCCCCAGUUAAACUGAUUUACGUUGGUUUCUGCAUGCUGCAUGCUUUAAUUGACUCUCAUGGAGACCUCCCAUCCUUAAUCUCCCCCUCCUUCCUUUCCCUUGAUCCAUCCUUAGCCUCCUUUCUUUCCCCUGCGUUUGAUAUCGGUCUAAUUUUGGUCCUUUAAACCAUUUGGUUUUUGGGUAUUGAGGCAGUUUUGGACUUAAUGAAAUGAUUCAUCCUACUCAACCAAACUGGUUCCCUUAUCCUAGGGUACUGUAGUCCUUUUUGAAAUUGACUCCAUUACCAAUUUAACUCUCUAAACCUCCUCUUUUGUGAAUGCCUUUUGCAAAAACUGAAAAAGAAUUUUAGUUUUUCAAAACAAAUGCCACCUAAAUUGAACUUGCUGGAAAUUUUAAUCCAAAGAAAUUGCUGGAAUUUUUUUUUCCAGAAAGUAGCCAAAAGAUUUUGCACAAUGGCCUGAAUCGACCCUCGAGCUGCAGUAUGCAAAAGACUGGAAUGGCUAGAAAGUGAACGAUUUGCAUGGAAAGUCUACAUUGGCGGAAUAGGGUUCCAACCACCAGGAAGUUUAAAAUUAAGUUGGAGUUGGAAGAGGACAUGACCCUUGAUAGGAAAGUCUGGAGGUCUAGUAUCAGGGUUGUAGGAUAGGGG